rnacentral:rRNA from 1 species
GGGUAGAGUAAUGCGUGACCAACCUGCCCCAUGCUCCAGAAUAGCUCUUGGAAACGGGUGGUAAUGCUGGAUGCUCCAACUUGACGCAUGUCUUGUUGGGAAAGUGUUUAGUGGCAUGGGAUGGGGUCGCGUCCUAUCAGCUUGUAGGCGGGGUAAUGGCCCACCUAGGCUUCGACGGGUAGCCGGCCUGAGAGGGCGGACGGCCACAUUGGGACUGAGAUACGGACCAGACUCCUACGGGAGGCAGCAGCU